rnacentral:pre_miRNA from 1 species
AGGAGGAACAAUCCCAGUGGAGGCGGCCAGCUCUGGAGCCCUGGAUUCAGCUCCUGCAGUUACUAGGGAGCUCUCAGUCUGCAGGGCCCUGGAUGCUCCGGGGGCAG